GCGAGAGACAUCCAUGCACGAGAAGACACAAAGUGGGAACUGUGAAUCUGUUUAGCCACCACACAGGAGUGAGAAAUUAUUCAAAUACCGUGGCUGAGGGGAAACAAGCAGGUGCAACAUCAAACCAUGUUGGGCAUUUCUUCAAUGGAUAUUUUGUUCUAAAUCAAAGCAUACUGCUAGCUAAUCAGAGGUGGAACCUCAAAAGACUUGGGAUUCUUGCUCUGACCUCAAAAGACUUUUGAAAAUGGUUACUUACUUAAACCACUGGAAUGCACAGGAGCAAGUCAUCUCAUGAGGUUCACAGACAGUCCAAAACCAGAAGCUCCGGAGGAUCUUGACAGGACAUGAGACAGCUGGAAGAUGUGAAGGACUUAGAGAGGCAGGUAGCUCCCCAUUGAUACGUAGACCAUAAAGAAACUUCCCCCAGGUAUCAUCAUGGUGUGCCAUUGGGCUUGUUCUCCCCACAGCGAGGGCAGCUGGCCAGACUCAUCCCCAUCAAGAUGUUUGGGUAAAUUCUCCUUUCCGAGGAAAGAGCGUGAUGAUACUUGUCUCUUCCCCUACCUGGCAGUUGCUGUUUUAAAUGCUUACAUUUUGCAAUGAGUUCUGAAUUAUCUUCCAAAAUUAUACAUGGCAUCUCCCUCCCAUCUGGCACUGAUGUCAGCAUGGCAUAUGUUUACCCAGGAACCUGCAGAGCACUCUGAACUUCUACAAGGGGGAAAUCAGCUAAUUUCACCUUUAAUGUCAAACCUGCAGCACUGUGAGUUCUGCAGGUGGCAGCCAGAUGAAACAGCUGCUGGUCCAUCUCCUGCAGGCUUGGAUGCACCUCCCCACAUUUCACCAGAUCCAAUUACCUUUACCUGAGGUGCUCCCAGAAGGAUCUGAGUCCCACAAGGCUUAAUUUGCAGUCCUCUGAGAGAGAUGCACAGAGUGUCAGACAGCCCACCUGCAGCCUGAAAAUCCCUCUGGAGGGAGGUGCCCCACCUGUCUUCCUGAUGUCACUCUUCCUGAACCAUAAAAUAAAAAUUGCUAAAAAAAUCACCACAGAAAUUUUACUGCACUUGUCACAAGCCCUGAGCAGGUUACAAAGUGGACUUCAGUAGUUACCACAUA